UGAAGAAGAAUGGUCUCUUUGAUUAUUGUAUAAUCCAGAUAAAGGGAAACCGUUCAAAGGAGGAAGUGUUUGCUCAAAUUGAUACUGCUCUAUCCAAAAUGCUUCAACAGAGGAACAACACCUCUCCAAGUUCACUUUCAAGUUGAAUCAUUUUUUGGUACUGACCUGAGGAAGAAGUGUUUGACCAUUUCCGAAAUGCUUCAACAGAGGGAACACUGCUCCAACUUCACUUUCAAGUUGAAUCAUUCUUGUCACGGACCUAACCAGCGGUAAAUAUCCCCUUUCUGGCAUUUAUCAAAUUCUAUUGAUACCGCUUGUAUCUCACAAUAAGGAUCUAUUUGUUUCCAGUAAGAUUGAUGUGCGUCUCUGUGACCUUUAUGCUCUUGUAGAUUUACUGAAAAAUUAACUCAUUGUAUUUCUCUUGUUGCAAUCAUUGUCAUUCUUUUUUUUUUUUUUUUACUUGAUUCUAUUAGUUAUUAAUUCAUUUAAAGACCUUUGAAAAGUUCUUCGUAUCAAUGAGUCAACUUUUGAAGGUUAGCGUCUAAAUUCAACUUGACAAUGGUGAUAUAAUAUCCACUGGUUUUAUUCACAUGAUUGAUUGUUCAUCUACUUUUUCUCUAGCAAUAUAAUUAGAGGAUUUUGACUUUUGACUUCUCCCAUGGAGUUUAAAACAAGUUGAUAAGCUUUUUAUACUCUUUUCUCUUUGUCUCCCACACGACUGACUUGGAAUCUCAUGUAAUGCUUGAAAAAUGCAGCAGCGUAUCUUAUUGGCUUUCGCAUUUGAAGCUUUCACAUCAAACUGCUUGUGCUAAGGUUUCUUCUUUGAAAAGUAUUAUCUAACAUUUCUGUACCAACUAAGGAAAGACCAAUAGAAUUGAAAAUAAUAUAAACAAAAAAAAUAAAGUGACACGUGGCUAAUCACUAGCGGGACUUGAUAGUGGUUCGGUCUGUGGAGCUCCUAAACAAGCAGCCAAAGCCUUCUCUAGGUUACUCACUACCUCCGCCAUGGACGGCCUUUCCCGGCCGCACGGAACCAAGCACUCCACCGCCAAGCACCCAGCUGUUGAUUUCGGAUCUCUUCUUCAGGUUGUGGCGGCCGAGAAAGCGGAGCCGCCUCUGAAGAUUAUGAUAUCAGGAGCUCCCGCUUCGGGUAAAGGCACACAGUGCGAGCUCAUCACUCAGAAAGUAAGCUUCUUCCCCUCUUUUAAUCACAUUUCACGAUGAGUAUUGCGUAAUGUAUGGUCUCGAUUCUAAUUAGGAUCGGUUUUUUAUAAUCAGAAUCUUUGAAUUUCUUGUAUACAUUCUUUACUCAAUGAGAAUAAAUUAAUUUCACAUUUUUUUUUUUCUUUUAGAAACUUAGGUUGUUGAAUAGGUAAAGGAAAGACACUUUCUUGAUGUGUUUCUUGUUUUUUCUUCAUCAGUAAGAAUAGUAGAGUUUGACAAUCUUAUCUUCGGUAUUAGUUCUGUUGGAAGCUUAUUGGGAGGUUCUUAUGGUGAGGUUCUUAGCGGAAUAUAAGCGGAAUAUAAGAACCCGUCUCUUAACUUUUUUAUGAGGUUAUUGGAAGCUUAUUGGGAGGUUCUUAGGUUUUUAUCUAAGAGACGGUUCUUAGCUUUUUUAAUUAAAAGUUAAGAUACAGGUUCAUAUAUUCCGCUAAGAACCCCACUUUAAGAACACCCAAUAAUCAUGCUCUAGGUUGUUGAAUAGGUUAAAGAAAGUCCUCCUCUUUUUAGGUUAUGUUUUUGUGGAAGACUUCAUGCUUAAAUACUAUAUGGUCUAGAUUCGAUUUAGGAUUAGUUUUGUAUAAUCAGAACCGUUGAGUUUCUUGUAUACUUUCUUCUUCUUCUUCCUCAGUGAGAAUAAAAUAAAGUAAGGAAAAUCACUCUCUUAAUAGAGUUUCACAAUCUUAUUUUUCGGUUUUAGUUCUGGUAGAAGCUUUAUGCUGUUGUCGAAUAAUGUAAAGAAAGUCCUUUCUCUUUGUUAGUUUCUGUUUCAGUGGGGAGACUUCAUGCUUGUUUGGUAAUUCACUACUACUACUACCUCUUUGCAGUAUGGUUUGGUGCAUAUCUCUGCUGGAGACCUGCUGAGAGCUGAGAUCGCUUCUGGUAGUGGAAAUGGAAAGCUGGCGAAAGAAUACAUGGAGAAAGGACAGCUGGUCCCUGAUGAAAUCGUUGUAAUGAUGGUCAAAGACCGUUUAUCACAAACUGAUUCACAGCAAAAUGGAUGGCUUUUAGAUGGUUAUCCGAGAAGCUCAUCGCAGGCAACAGCGCUUAAAGGGUUUGGAUUCCAGCCUGAUCUGUUCAUUGUCCUCGAAGUAGGCAGUUUUGCUUAUCAUUAAUGUUCCCUUAUCUCUCAUCAAAUGGUAUUUGAUUUACGCCUGCUCUGCUUUUUGGGACAGGUUCCUGAAGAUAUUUUAAUCGAAAGAGUUGUGGGGCGUAGAUUAGAUCCUAUCACGGGAAAGAUCUACCACUUGAAGUAUUCUCCUCCAGAGACUGAAGAGAUCGCUGCUAGACUCACCCAACGUUUUGAUGAUACCGAAGAGAAGGCAAGCCCAUAUGAAACUCUCGGUUACUCCAUUUAUGUCUCUGUAAUCUUUUUGUUUCAUUUGCUGUAGGCAAAGCUGCGGCUGAAGACUCAUAACCAAAAUGUGAGCGAUGUGCUUUCCAUGUACGACGAUAUCACUAUUAAGGUAUGAGAUCUCAUUCCACACCUCUCUUCAUUAACUAGAGUCUCAUGAAGAAGAAUGGUCUCUUUGAUUAUUGUAUAAUCCAGAUAAAGGGAAACCGUUCAAAGGAGGAAGUGUUUGCUCAAAUUGAUACUGCUCUAUCCAAAAUGCUUCAACAGAGGAACAACACCUCUCCAAGUUCACUUUCAAGUUGAAUCAUUUUUUGGUACUGACCUGAGGAAGAAGUGUUUGACCAUUUCCGAAAUGCUUCAACAGAGGGAACACUGCUCCAACUUCACUUUCAAGUUGAAUCAUUCUUGUCACGGACCUAACCAGCGGUAAAUAUCCCCUUUCUGGCAUUUAUCAAAUUCUAUUGAUACCGCUUGUAUCUCACAAUAAGGAUCUAUUUGUUUCCAGUAAGAUUGAUGUGCGUCUCUGUGACCUUUAUGCUCUUGUAGAUUUACUGAAAAAUUAACUCAUUGUAUUUCUCUUGUUGCA
rnacentral:lncRNA from 1 species